AGCUGCCGCCCCGGGGGUCCCGAUGCCGCCGUCGCUGUCGGUGCCCGGAGGCCGCCGCGGUGCGCUCGGCAGCGGCCGCCCCGACCGAGCGCAGGCUCAGCGGACGCGUCGCCGUAAGAGCGCUUAAACCCGCCAAGUUCGGGCUCUGAAAUCACUUUUCCGUGGUUUUCCUUUUUUUUUUUCUUCUUUUUCUUUUUCUUUUUUUUUUUUUUUUUUUCCAACAGCAGCACCAGCUGGGAGCGGAAGAUCAGAGAAUGGCUAUUGAUUAAUCUAUUAGAGGUGUUAACGACUUAAUCAUUGCGGGCGUUAGCAUAUGAAAAAGUAGGAAAUGAGGGAGUGUGUGUGAAUGUGAGGACCGUAUUGACGCGGCCCCAGGUGUUGUCGGAUUUCGGGGAAUACAAUUAAAUUAGGAAAAUGCCCCACGAGCGAACAGUUUCACAAUCUUCCCGCGGGGCCGGCUCCCUCCCUGCGCGGCCGCGGACCCGCCACCCCGCGGGGUUCCCCCCCCCCUCCCCGCUCCGGCUCCUUUUUUACGCGUUUCCCGGCGGAUCUCCGCGGACCGUGACCCUGGCCUCCGCACCCGCGU